AGUGAACGCUGGCGGUAGGCCUAACACAUGCAAGUCGAACGGCAGCACAGUAAGAGCUUGCUCUUACGGGUGGCGGGUGGCGGACGGGUGAGGAAUACAUCGGAAUCUACUUUUUCGUGGGGGAUAACGUAGGGAAACUUACGCUAAUACCGCAUACGACCUACGGGUGAAAGCAGGGGAUCUUCGGACCUUGCGCGAUUGAAUGAGCCGAUGUCGGAUUAGCUAGUUGGCGGGGUAAAGGCCCACCAAGGCGACGAUCCGUAGCUGGUCUGAGAGGAUGAUCAGCCACACUGGAACUGAGACACGGUCAAGACUCCUACGGGAGGCAGCAGUGGGGAAUAUUGGACAAUGGGCGCAAGCCUGAUCCAGCCAUACCGCGUGGGUGAAGAAGGCCUUCGGGUUGUAAAGCCCUUUUGUUGGGAAAGAAAAGCAGCAGGUUAAUACCCCGCUGUUCCGACGGUACCCAAAGAAUAAGCACCGGCUAACUUCGUG
rnacentral:rRNA from 1 species